GUACAGUUUGAACGUUGUCUGGUAGUUUUACUCAUGCAAGUCAGUAUAUUUUAAUAUACGAAAUGUAGAUAUAAAUUUAUUUUUAUUUCUAGAAAGUACUAUAUUAGGAUAUAUGGCGAAAGGCGAGGAUAAACUAGUACAUACCCGUUUUUACCUUAAUUAACAUGGUAUAAAUGGAUUGACUAGGUUUCUAGCAGGUAGUAAAGAAUAAUUUUUCUUUAGCCAUACGGAUAGGAAAAAGCGAAAGCUUCAAUUCCCGCAAUCGGUUUGAGAAUGACCGGUCGUGUUAUAGUAACAUGCAGCAGAGGAGAAUUUUGGGCAAUGCUCGAAAGAGUGACCCAGCUAACCAGAACUUAAUUCUUUUUUAUUUAAAAAGAAGAGUGUCGUAAGGGAGGAUAAUGACGUUACCUUACUAUUAGUCCAAUCUAAGUAUCGUGCCAGCAGACGCGGUUAUACGAACUGGGCAAACGUUAAAUGGUUUUAAUAGGUGUUAAGGAUCUGUAGGCGGUUUAUAUAAUAAACUAGAAUUUGAUAGAGGGUAACAGAAUGCUAGGAGUAGGGAUGAUAUCCGCAAAUCUUUAGUAGAAUACUAAAAGCGAAAGCAGUUAAUCAGGUAAAAAUUGACGCUGAGGGAUGAAAGUCCGGGAAGUAAAAUGGAUUAGAUACCCGUGUAGUCCGGACCGUAAACGAUUUACACUUUAUAUUUGGUACAAUAGAAAUCAGAUAAGAAGCAAACAGCAGUUAGUGUAACACCUUGUAAGUACAGCCACACGGCAGAAAGCAAAAAGAUUAGACUAUCUUGAAAACCCGGAGUGGAGCAUGUUGUUUAAUACGAUAACCCGCGUAGAAUCUUACCUCUUCUUGAAUGUUUUGUAAUUUUCAAAACACAGGCGUUGCAUGGCUGUCUUCAGUUCGUGUCGUGAGAUGUUAGGUUAGUUCCGUUAACGAACGCAAUCCUUAUUUUUAUUCCUUUUAGGGUAUAGAAAUUUGUAUCACAUAAGAUACAAUUUAGGACUAAGACAAGCCUUCAUGACCCUUAUGAAGUAUGGGCUACAGACGUGCUACAUGUAUCUAACAAACUGAGGCAAUACUGCAAAGUGGAGCUAAACAGUAAAAUAAGAUUAUUUAGGAUUGUAGUCUGAAAUUCGACUGCAUGAAUCAGGAAUUCCGAGUAAUCGUUGAUUAGUACGCAACGGUGAAUCAUUAUAUUUGGGAGGUACUAAUUGUCUAUCAGAUGUCGGUCGUAAAGAGGCCACGUAUACUAGGUUUAAAACCCUACAUAGAUUGGUAGCUCUAUUACUGAGGUCAAGUUAUAGCAAAGUGGCCCUAAGUGAACUUGGGGCCG
rnacentral:rRNA from 1 species